rnacentral:rRNA from 1 species
ACGAACGCUGGCGGCGUGCUUCACACAUGCAAGUCGAACGGAAAGGCCCUGCUUUUGUGGGGUGCUCGAGUGGCGAACGGGUGAGUAACACGUGAGUAACCUGCCCUUGACUUUGGGAUAACUUCAGGAAACUGGGGCUAAUACCGGAUAGGAGCUCCUGCUGCAUGGUGGGGGUUGGAAAGUUUCGGCGGUUGGGGAUGGACUCGCGGCUUAUCAGCUUGUUGGUGGGGUAGUGGCUUACCAAGGCUUUGACGGGUAGCUGGCCUGAGAGGGUGACCGGCCACAUUGGGACUGAGAUACGGCCCAGACUCCUACGGGAGGCAGCAGUGGGGAAUAUUGCACAAUGGGCGGAAGCCUGAUGCAGCAACGCCGCGUGCGGGAUGACGGCCUUCGGGUUGUAAACCGCUUUCGCCUGUGACGAAGCGUGAGUGACGGUAAUGGGUAAAGAAGCACCGGCUAACUACGUG